rnacentral:rRNA from 1 species
CCUACGGGAGGCAGCAGUGGGGGAUAUUGCACAAUGGGGGGAACCCUGAUGCAGCGACGCCGCGUGUGGGAAGACGGUCCUCUGGAUUGUAAACCACUGUCCCCAGGGACGAAACUGACGGUACCUGGGGAGGAAGCUCCGGCUAACUACGUGCCAGCAGCGGCGGUAAUACGUAGGGAGCGAGGGUUGUCCGGAAUUACUGGGUGAAAAGGGUGCGUAGCCGGGGAUGCAAGUUGGGUGUCAAAACUACCGGCUCAACUGGUAGUCGCACUCAAAACUGCAGCGCUUGAGUGAAGUAGAGGCAGGCGGAAUUCCUAGUGUAGCGGUGAAAUGCGUAGAUAUUAGGAGGAACACCAGUGGCGAAGGCGGCCUGCUGGGCUUUUACUGACGCUGAGGCUCGAAAGUGUGGGGAGCAAACAGGAUUAGAGACCCGUGUAGUC